rnacentral:rRNA from 1 species
GGGAGUUACUCUAGUGGCGGACGGGUGAGUAAUACGUGAGAAUCUGCCCUUAGGAGGAGAAUAACGGCUGGAACCGGCCGCUAACUCUGCAUAUGCCGAGAGGUGAAAUAGUUUUUACUGCCUAGGGAUGAGCUCGCGCCUGAUUAGCUUGUUGGUGAGGUAAUGGCUUACCAAGGCCACGAUCAGUAGCUGGUUUGAGAGAAUGAUCAGCCACACUGGGACUGAGACACGGCCCAGACUCCUCCGGGAGGCAGCAGUGAGGAAUUUUCCGCAAUGGGCGAAAGCCUGACGGAGCAAUACCGCGUGAGGGAAUAAGGAUCUUGGUCUGUAAACCUCUUUUCUCAAGAAAGAAGUUCUGACGGUACUUGAAGGAUAAGCAUCGGCUAACUCCGUGCCAGCAGCCGCGGUAAUACGGGGGAUGCAAGCGUUAUCCGGAAUCAUUGGGCGUAAAGCGCCUGUAGGUUGUUUAAUAAGUCUGUUGUUAAAGACUAGGGCUUAACCCUGGAAAAGCAAUGGAAACUACUAGACUUGAGUAUGGCAGGGGUAGGGGGAAUUUCUAGUGUAGCGGUGAAAUGCGUAGAUAUUAGAAAGAACACCGGUGGCGAAAGCGCCCUACUGGACCAUCACUGACACUGAGGGGCGAAAGCUAG